UUGGAGGGCAAGUCUGGUGCCAGCAGCCGCGGUAAUUCCAGCCCCAAUAGCGUAUAUUAAAGUUGUUGCAGUUAAAAAGCUCGUAGUUGAAUUUCGGGAUCAAUGUUUCGGUCAUGCCGUUGGUAUGUACUGAUAUUAUUGAUUUCUCACCUUCUAAAGAACCGUAAUGCCAUUAAUUUGGUGUCACGGGGAAUUAGGACUGUUACCUUGAAAAAAUUAGAGUGUUUAAAGCAGGCUCACGCUUGAAUACAUUAGCAUGGAAUAAUGAAAUAGGACAUCCGAUUCUAUUUUGUUGGUUUCUAGGAUCGAUGUAAUGAUUAAUAGGGAUAGUUGGGGGCAUUAGUAUUCAAUUGUCAGAGGUGAAAUUCUUGGAUUUAUUGAAGACUAACUACUGCGAAAGCAUUUGCCAAGGAUGUUUUCAUUAAUCAAGAACGAAAGUUGGGGGAUCGAAGACGAUCAGAUACCGUCGUAGUCUUAACCAUAAACUAUGCCGACUAGGGAUCGGAUGAUGUUAAUUUUUUAAUGACUCAUUCGGCGCCUUACGGGAAAC
rnacentral:rRNA from 1 species